GGCUCCUUAGUUUAAUGGAUAAAAUUUCAGAUUCCGAUUCUGAAGAUACAGGUUCGAUUCCUGUAGGGGCUA
rnacentral:tRNA from 1 species